UACGAAGGGGGCUAGCGUUGCUCGGAAUCACUGGGCGUAAAGCGCACGUAGGCGGAUCUUUAAGUCAGGGGUGAAAUCCUGGAGCUCAACUCCAGAACUGCCUUUGAUACUGAGGAUCUCGAGUCCGGGAGAGGUGAGUGGAACUGCGAGUGUAGAGGUGAAAUUCGUAGAUAUUCGCAAGAACACCAGUGGCGAAGGCGGCUCACUGGCCCGGUACUGACGCUGAGACGCGAAAGCGUGGGUAGCAAACAGG
rnacentral:rRNA from 1 species